GAUGAACGCUGGCGGCGUGCCUAAUACAUGCAAGUCGAGCGAACGGACGAGAAGCUUGCUUCUCUGAUGUUAGCGGCGGACGGGUGAGUAACACGUGGAUAACCUACCUAUAAGACUGGGAUAACUUCGGGAAACCGGAGCUAAUACCGGAUAAUAUUUUGAACCGCAUGGUUCAAAAGUGAAAGACGGUCUUGCUGUCACUUAUAGAUGGAUCCGCGCUGCAUUAGCUAGUUGGUAAGGUAACGGCUUACCAAGGCAACGAUGCAUAGCCGACCUGAGAGGGUGAUCGGCCACACUGGAACUGAGACACGGUCCAGACUCCUACGGGAGGCAGCAGUAGGGAAUCUUCCGCAAUGGGCGAAAGCCUGACGGAGCAACGCCGCGUGAGUGAUGAAGGUCUUCGGAUCGUAAAACUCUGUUAUUAGGGAAGAACAUAUGUGUAAGUAACUGUGCACAUCUUGACGGUACCCUAUCAGAAAGCCACGGCUAACUACGUGCCAGCAGCCGCGGUAAUACGUAAGUGGGCAGCGUUAUCCGGAAUUAUUGGGCGNUAAGCGCGCGUAGGCGGGUUUUUAAGUCUGAUGUGAAAGCCCACGGCUCAACCGUGGAGGGUCAUUGGAAACUGGAAAACUUGAGUGCAGAAGAGGAAAGUGGAAUUCCAUGUGUAGCGGUGAAAUGCGCAGAGAUAUGGAGGAACACCAGUGGCGAAGGCGACUUUCUGGUCUGUAACUGACGCUGAUGUGCGAAAGCGUGGGGAUCAAACAGGAUUAGAUACCCUGGUAGUCCACGCCGUAAACGAUGAGUGCUAAGUGUUAGGGGGUUUCCGCCCCUUAGUGCUGCAGCUAACGCAUUAAGCACUCCGCCUGGGGAGUACGACCGCAAGGUUGAAACUCAAAGGAAUUGACGGGGACCCGCACAAGCGGUGGAGCAUGUGGUUUAAUUCGAAGCAACGCGAAGAACCUUACCAAAUCUUGACAUCCUUUGACAACUCUAGAGAUAGAGCCUUCCCCUUCGGGGGACAAAGUGACAGGUGGUGCAUGGUUGUCGUCAGCUCGUGUCGUGAGAUGUUGGGUUAAGUCCCGCAACGAGCGCAACCCUUAAGCUUAGUUGCCAUCAUUAAGUUGGGCACUCUAAGUUGACUGCCGGUGACAAACCGGGGGAAGGUGGGGAUGACGUCAAAUCAUCAUGCCCCUUAUGAUUUGGGCUACACACGUGCUACAAUGGACAAUACAAAGGGCAGCGAAACCGCGAGGUCAAGCAAAUCCCAUAAAGUUGUUCUCAGUUCGGAUUGUAGUCUGCAACUCGACUACAUGAAGCUGGAAUCGCUAGUAAUCGUAAAUCACCAUGCAACGGUGAAUACCUUCCCGGG
rnacentral:rRNA from 1 species